rnacentral:rRNA from 1 species
CCUACGGGAGGCAGCAGUAGGGAAUAUUGGUCAAUGGCCGAAACCCUGAAGCAGCAACGUCGCGUGGAGGAUGACGGCCCUAGGGUUUUAAACCCCUUUUUUUAGAGAAGAUAAUGACGGGACCUAACGAAUAAGCACCGUCUCACUCCGGGCAAGCAGCCGUGGUUAAUUGGAGGGAGCAAGCGUUAAUCGGAAUCUCUGGGCGUAAAGGGCGCGUAUGGGGGAUAGCAAGUCAGAUGUGAAAUGCUAGGGCUUAACCCUCUAACCGCAUUUGAAACUGUUAUUCUAGAGUAUGGGAGAGGUAGGUGGAAUGCUUGGUGUAGGGGUGAAAUGCGUAGAGAGCAAGCAGAAUACUGAUUGCGAAGGCGACCUGCUGGCACAUAACUGACGCUGAUGCGCGAAAGCGUGGGGAGCAAACAGGAUUAGAUACCCUAGUAGUC